rnacentral:pre_miRNA from 1 species
UAACUACUCCCUCCGUUUGAAAUUACUUGUCUCGGAAAUGGAUGUAUCUAGAACUAAAAUACAUCUAGAUACAUCCAUUUUCACGACAAGUAAUUCCGAACUGAGGGAGUAGCUA